GCCAGGCGUGGUGGGGCAUGCCUGUAAUCCCAGCUACUUGGGAGGCUGAGGCAGGAGAAUUGCUUGAAUCUGGGAGGCUGAGGUUUCAGUGAGCUGAGAUCAUGCCACUGCACUCUAGCCUGGGUGACAGAGUGAGACUCUGUCUCAA
rnacentral:SRP_RNA from 1 species